AAACUAUUGAGGAGUCCCACAAUAGGACGAAACAGUUGUCUAGUGC
rnacentral:hammerhead_ribozyme from 1 species